rnacentral:misc_RNA from 1 species
AUUGUGUAAAAACUUCACUUUAUACUCAUGCUUUAAAAUUUGUAAUCCACUGAUAUGAUGUUGCAUCUACUGGAUGAUCUUUGAACUCUUUCUGUUCAUUGCUGAGGAGUGAGGGUCUGGCCUUAUGUUUUAUUUGGGUUUCACAUUAGCAUGGGCGUAUAGAGACCAGUGUUCCAAAAAUAUUUUAGUUCUUGCGAUGUGUGUAUGUGCUGCCCUUGCAUGAAGUAUCCUAUCCCACUGAUGGUCUUUCUUUCUUGAAUGUGAUCGUGAAGUUGAUAUGCAAGGAGCUUGUUUAUUGGUCUUGGAUGGAGUGAAUUAAAUAUUAGAUAGUUUGUUCCAUUUGUUCGUAGCAAAUUGAACCAAAUUAAGCUCCAUAAUGUGAUCACCUUAACUCCAUGAUGCUUAUAUUUGGUAAAAUAUGUAAAUUUUGUUCAACAUGAGGAAAGUAAAAAACAAUUUCAAAUAAUUUUACUUUUCAUUAAAAAAACUUUUUCGCCUUUUGAAAAUUGUCUUUUGCUAUCUAACCAAAAAGUAUUUUUGUUUCUUAAAAUAGCAAAAAAGAGCAAUUUUAGCAAGUUAUUUAAACAGGGCAUGGGAGUAAGUAAGAAGGGUUGAAGAGUGGUUGCAAAUGGAGGUCAACUCUUUGAGGUUUUCUUUUAGGAUGUAAUGGGAAGUUAUUUACAUUUGUUAAACCUCCUAAGUCCUAAUAUCCAUUUUUGUUGACUCCUAAAGUAGGGGUUUAAAGGCUAUAAUGAAAAGUUUUUAAGUAUUUACAACCACUAACUUUUUUAUUCUUUUAAAAUUACCAAACAAAGUGAACUUAAUUAACAUUGCUUUACAUUCUUUUACUCCCCUUUAUAUUGCAAUUAAAAUUCUCAUGCAAAUGCGAUGUGUUAAUGUUUGUUUAACCCUCCUUCCUUGGUGGAGCCCAAGCUCAAACUAUAGUGCACAUCGUUGGAGCAUUGAGAUUCUACUAAUAUAAUUCACAAAGAUGCAAUCAAGUUGGGCAGCUUUGGGUAAUCCUAAUAACAGUCAAAUAAUGUCAGUGCCAUACCACUCAUCACAUCAAAGCCCGAAGCUCAACAUAAAUCAUAUAGGCUUUCGUGUGUAAUAAUUACUAGGUAUUUUCCUGUUAAUGGAGAAGUCUUUUGAUGACUGAGAG